AUGGAGCCACAAGUUGACGACCAGCGAGCCCAUGCCGUAGUCAUAAUCACUCUCCCACCUUCCGAUGAUCCUUCCCAAGGCAAAACUAUCUCUGCCUUCACCCUCACUGACCACCACUACCCACCCGAAACCCAUCCGGAGGACCACCCAAACCCGAAUUUUCAACCCGGCCCACUUCACCAAAACCCGGAUCCCGGACUCUGGCUCUCGGAUCUCUCCACGGGCUCGCCGAGACUAGUUCUGAGUCUUAUCGCUAUUUCGCUUCUCGCGAUUGCCUUCUACGCCUCUGUUUUCCCCAACACCGUUCAGAUGUUUAGGGUUUAUGAUGAGAGGGAUCGUGACGAUGAAGCCAAUCGCCGUGAAACGUCGUCGUUUGUCUUCCCUGUCUACCACAAACUGGGUGCCCGGGCUAUCCCAGACCGGAAGUUAGCGGAAGUUGUGGAUGUAGUAAAAAGUGGAAUCCUUGUGGAGUCAAUCGAUCAAGAGCUGGUCAACCCUGUGAAAGUCAACGAUGCUUUUUCUGCUAUCGCUGCUUCUUUUGACUCCUCCACUACGAUUCUUCCCGUUGGUGGAGAUGUCUAUCCUAAUGGGCUCUACUUCACACGGAUUCUUGUUGGAAAACACUACUUCUAUCUCGACAUCGAUACUGGAAGUGACUUGACUUGGGUCCAGUGUGACGCUCCUUGUAGGAGCUGCGCUAAGGGAGCAAAUCAAUUGUAUACACCAAGAAAAGGUAUGUUAGUGAGAUCCGCGGAGUCCUUAUGUGUAGAAGUUCAAAAGAAUCAAAUGACACAACAUUGUGAGGAUUGUGAGCAAUGUGACUACGAGAUUGAGUAUGCUGAUCUUAGCUCUUCCCUUGGAGUUCUCACCAAAGAUGAGUUUCAUAUCAAUCUCCACAACGGCUCAGUUGCCGACUUGGAUAUUGUUUUCGGGUGUGGAUAUGAUCAGCAAGGGCUGCUGUUAAACACUCUGGUAAAAACAGACGGGAUCCUCGGUCUAAGCAGAGCUAAAAUUAGCUUGCCUUCUCAACUUGCAAGCCGAGGUAUCAUCAGCAAUGUGAUUGGCCACUGCCUUCCCUCUGAUCUAAACGGUGAAGGGUAUAUCAUCAUGGGAAGUGAUUUGGUUCCCUCACACGGAAUCACAUGGGUUCCUAUGCUUCACCAUUCUCACUUGGAAGUUUAUCAGAUGCAAGUUUCAAAAGUGAGCUACGGGAAUGGUAUGCUUAGCUCAGACGGUAGAGUAGGCAAAGUCUUAUUUGACACAGGAAGCUCUUAUACAUACUUCCCUAACAAGGCUUACUCUCACCUGGUCAAAUCACUUAAAGAAGUUUCUGGGUUGGGACUAACACUUGACGAAUCAGACAAAACACUGCCUAUCUGUUGGCGAGCUGACUUCGUGAUCAGUUCCUUGUCGGAUUUUAAACGGUUCUUUAGACCAAUAACUCUGCAAAUAGGGAGCAAAUGGUGGAUCAUAUCAAAAAAACUUGUGCUUCAGCCAGAGGAUCACUUGAUCAUAAGCAAAAAAGGAAACGUAUGUCUUGGGAUAUUAGAUGGAAGCAGUGUUCAUGAUGGAUCCACCAUUAUUCUUGGAGACGUGUCGAUGCGUGGACACCUGAUCGUGUACGACAAUGUAAAGCGGAGAAUCGGAUGGAUGAGAUCAGACUGCGUUCGGCCUCGUGAUUCUGAUUUCAAUGUACCUUUCUUUCAAGGUUGAGGAACAUCCAUAAUUCUUACAUCCCGACACCAUGCGAGUGUUUGAUAUAUAGUGUUGAAUUAGAGAGAAUAGAGAAAGAGAUAAGGGCGAGAAGAGAAGUGUCGUCAUUGUUGUAUCUCGAGAGCUCAAUUGAGCUAAGAUUGCUGGAACUUUCCAGCUCCAGAGAGUUAUAGCGGCUCUUCCUCAUCGGAGGAGUGCAGUGAACUCCGGGUGACCAAAUCGCCGUGUUACUGUUUUUUUUUUCUUUCUUCGUUCUCGUAUCGCACAAGUCGUUAGAUCUAGGCAGAGGCGGACCUACGUACAAAGAAGGAGGUGCAAUUGACACAGGUUAAAUAUAAAAUUUAGGUUUGUAAGUCUGUUUUUGUAAUUGAUCUUAGCUCGGUUGGUUAUAGGUUCAGCCCAGUGACCC